rnacentral:rRNA from 1 species
CCUACGGGAGGCAGCAGUGAGGAAUUUUCCGCAAUGGGCGAAAGCCUGACGGAGCAAUACCGCGUGAGGGAUGAAGGAUUUUGGUCUGUAAACCUCUUUUCUCAAGAAAGAAGUUCUGACGGUACUUGAGGAAUAAGCAUCGGCUAGCUCCGUGCCAGCAGCCGCGGUAAUACGGGGGAUGCAAGCGUUAUCCGGAAUGAUUGGGCGUAAAGCGCCUGUAGGUUGUUUAUUAAGUCCGUUGUUAAAGCCUAGGGCUCAACCCUAGAAAAGCAAUGGAAACUAGUAGACUAGAGUAUGGCAGGGGUAGAGGGAAUUUCUAGUGUAGCGGUGAAAUGCGUAGAUAUUAGAAAGAACACCGGUGGCGAAAGCGCUCUACUGGACCAUUACUGACACUCAGAGGCGAAAGCUAGGGUAGCAAAAGGGAUUAGAUACCCCUGUAGUCCUAGCCGUAAACGAUGGAUACUAGAUGUUGUGCAUUAUGUACAGUAUCGUAGCUAACGCGUUAAGUAUCCCGCCUGGGGAGUACGCUCGCAAGGGUGAAACUUAAAGAUAUGCGUGNGAGAGCGACGACGACGACGACGGAGGAG